rnacentral:tRNA from 1 species
GCAGGGGUUGCCAAGCUUGGUCAACGGCGCUGGGGUUAGGCCUCAGUGGUUCGCAGGUUCAAAUCCUGCCCCCUGCA